rnacentral:rRNA from 1 species
GUGGGGAAUAUUGGACAAUGGGCGAAAGCCUGAUCCAGCCAUGCCGCGUGUGUGAAGAAGGUCUUCGGAUUGUAAAGCACUUUAAGUUGGGAGGAAGGGCAGUAAGUUAAUACCUUGCUGUUUUGACGUUACCGACAGAAUAAGCACCGGCUAACUUCGUGCCAGCAGCCGCGGUAAUACGAAGGGUGCAAGCGUUAAUCGGAAUUACUGGGCGUAAAGCGCGCGUAGGUGGGUUUGUAAGUUGAAUGUGAAAGCCCCGGGCUCAAACUGGGAACUGCCUCCAAAACUGCAUGACUAGAGUACGGUAGAGGGUAGUGGAAUUUCCUGUGUAGCGGUGAAAUGCGUAGAUAUAGGAAGGAACACCAGUGGCGAAGGCGACUACCUGGACUGAUACUGACACUGAGGUGCGAAAGCGUGGGGAGCAAACAGGAUUAGAAACCCUUGUAGUCC